ACUAAGCGUACACGGUGGAUGCCCUGGCAGUCAGAGGCGAUGAAGGACGUGCUAAUCUGCGAAAAGCGCCGGCGAGGUGAUAUGAACCCUUGACCCGGCGAUGUCCGAAUGGGGAAACCCAGUGCAAUCCGUUGCACUAUCGUUAACUGAAUACAUAGGUUAACGAGGCGAACCGGGGGAACUGAAACAUCUAAGUACCCCGAGGAAAAGAAAUCAACCGAGAUUCCCCCAGUAGCGGCGAGCGAACGGGGAGCAGCCCGGAGUCUGAAUCAGCUUGUGUGUUAGUGGAACGGUCUGGAAAGUCCGACGGUACAGGGUGAUAGUCCCGUACACGAAAGCACACUUGCUGUGAACUCGAAGAGUAGGGCGGGACACGUGGUAUCCUGUCUGAAUAUGGGGGGACCAUCCUCCAAGGCUAAAUACUCCUGACUGACCGAUAGUGAACCAGUACCGUGAGGGAAAGGCGAAAAGAACCCCGGCGAGGGGAGUGAAAAAGAACCUGAAACCGUGUACGUACAAGCAGUGGGAGCCUCUUUAUGGGGUGACUGCGUACCUUUUGUAUAAUGGGUCAGCGACUUAUAUUCUGUAGCAAGGUUAACCGUAUAGGGGAGCCGAAGGGAAACCGAGUCUUAACUGGGCGUUAAGUUGCAGGGUAUAGACCCGAAACCCGGUGAUCUAGCCAUGGGCAGGUUGAAGGUUGGGUAACACUAACUGGAGGACCGAACCGACUAAUGUUGAAAAAUUAGCGGAUGACCUGUGGCUGGGGGUGAAAGGCCAAUCAAACCGGGAGAUAGCUGGUUCUCCCCGAAAGCUAUUUAGGUAGCGCCUCGUGAACUCAUCUUCGGGGGUAGAGCACUGUUUCGGCUAGGGGGCCAUCCCGGCUUACCAACCCGAUGCAAACUACGAAUACCGAAGAAUGUUAUCACGGGAGACACACGGCGGGUGCUAACGUCCGUCGUGAAGAGGGAAACAACCCAGACCGCCAGCUAAGGUCCCAAAGUCAUGGUUAAGUGGGAAACGAUGUGGGAAGGCACAGACAGCCAGGAUGUUGGCUUAGAAGCAGCCAUCAUUUAAAGAAAGCGUAAUAGCUCACUGGUCGAGUCGGCCUGCGCGGAAGAUGUAACGGGGCUAAACCAUGCACCGAAGCUGCGGCAGCGACGCUUAUGCGUUGUUGGGUAGGGGAGCGUUCUGUAAGCCGUUGAAGGUGUGCUGUGAGGCAUGCUGGAGGUAUCAGAAGUGCGAAUGCUGACAUAAGUAACGAUAAAGCGGGUGAAAAGCCCGCUCGCCGGAAGACCAAGGGUUCCUGUCCAACGUUAAUCGGGGCAGGGUGAGUCGACCCCUAAGGCGAGGCCGAAAGGCGUAGUCGAUGGGAAACAGGUUAAUAUUCCUGUACUUGGUGUUACUGCGAAGGGGGGACGGAGAAGGCUAUGUCAGCCGGGCGACGGUUGUCCCGGUUUAAGCAUGUAGGCGGAGGUUCCAGGUAAAUCCGGUACCUUAUUAACGCUGAGGUGUGAUGACGAGGCACUACGGUGCUGAAGUGAUAAAUGCCCUGCUUCCAGGAAAAGCCUCUAAGCAUCAGGUAACACGAAAUCGUACCCCAAACCGACACAGGUGGUCAGGUAGAGAAUACCAAGGCGCUUGAGAGAACUCGGGUGAAGGAACUAGGCAAAAUGGUGCCGUAACUUCGGGAGAAGGCACGCUGAUGUGUAGGUGAAGUCCCUGCGGAUGGAGCUGAAAUCAGUCGAAGAUACCAGCUGGCUGCAACUGUUUAUUAAAAACACAGCACUGUGCAAACACGAAAGUGGACGUAUACGGUGUGACGCCUGCCCGGUGCCGGAAGGUUAAUUGAUGGGGUUAGCGGCAACGCGAAGCUCUUGAUCGAAGCCCCGGUAAACGGCGGCCGUAACUAUAACGGUCCUAAGGUAGCGAAAUUCCUUGUCGGGUAAGUUCCGACCUGCACGAAUGGCGUAAUGAUGGCCAGGCUGUCUCCACCCGAGACUCAGUGAAAUUGAACUCGCUGUGAAGAUGCAGUGUACCCGCGGCAAGACGGAAAGACCCCGUGAACCUUUACUAUAGCUUGACACUGAACACUGGUCCUUGAUGUGUAGGAUAGGUGGGAGGCUUUGAAGCGUGGACGCCAGUCUGCGUGGAGCCNAUCCGGGUUGCGGACAGUGUCUGGUGGGUAGUUUGACUGGGGCGGUCUCCUCCCAAAGAGUAACGGAGGAGCACGAAGGUUGGCUAAUCCUGGUCGGACAUCAGGAGGUUAGUGCAAUGGCAUAAGCCAGCUUGACUGCGAGCGUGACGGCGCGAGCAGGUGCGAAAGCAGGUCAUAGUGAUCCGGUGGUUCUGAAUGGAAGGGCCAUCGCUCAACGGAUAAAAGGUACUCCGGGGAUAACAGGCUGAUACCGCCCAAGAGUUCAUAUCGACGGCGGUGUUUGGCACCUCGAUGUCGGCUCAUCACAUCCUGGGGCUGAAGUAGGUCCCAAGGGUAUGGCUGUUCGCCAUUUAAAGUGGUACGCGAGCUGGGUUUAGAACGUCGUGAGACAGUUCGGUCCCUAUCUGCCGUGGGCGCUGGAGAAUUGAGGGGGGCUGCUCCUAGUACGAGAGGACCGGAGUGGACGCAUCACUGGUGUUCGGGUUGUCAUGCCAAUGGCACUGCCCGGUAGCUAAAUGCGGAAGAGAUAAGUGCUGAAAGCAUCUAAGCACGAAACUUGCCCCGAGAUGAGUUCUCCCUGAGACUUUAAGUCUCCUGAAGGAACGUUGAAGACGACGACGUUGAUAGGUCGGGUGUGUAAGCGCAGCGAUGCGUUGAGCUAACCGAUACUAAUGAACCGUGAGGCUUAACC
rnacentral:rRNA from 1 species